UGUCCAAAAUGCAUAAACUACUGUUAUUCAGUGAGUUUUUCUACAACAAGACAGAAAAUGUUCAGAUUUACAUAGUUUAGGUGGUUUUGAACAUGGUGAGCAUGGUGGCUCUUGAAACAUAUUUACAUGUAAACAAAUAUGCCAGAUCAGAUAGGAGUUGAAUAAAAAUAAGAAAAUAACUGCAAGUUACUGCUUGUAAGAAAUACCUUCUGCCUUCAUCUAUACCCAUGUUCUGUUUUGACAGAAAAAUUACUUUGGGUUAUCUGAGGUCCAGUAAGGAAAUGGCUUAUGCACUUCAAGCUCUUCACAAGCAAACUGUUCGAGCCUCUUGCCUGCCAGCCAGUCAAGAUGGCCCCCCAACCCUGCAGCCAAUCCCACGGUCGGGCACGCAGAAGAAAACCGCAGGCCAGCUGAUCCUCUCCCUGGCUACCUUCAUCUGCUCCUGCGGAAAUUUUUGGACUUGCAUGAAUUUUCAAGAGCUUCAUGGUCUACUGGGCUGGAGCAUUUCAGGAAGGAAAGAAUGGGGAGAAAGCCCUUGAGUCAUAUUCAGGCCUCAGAAAUCUUUUACUUGAUAACCCUGCUACAAAUGAUCAGUGCUUGUACAAAAGACAGAAGCUAUGGCUUGAAAUGAGGGGAAAGGCCAUGGUUAAGUAGCGUUUGGCAGCUAGCACCUUUUUUUAAUUGUGUGUCGCAUGCUGUGUUUGGAGAUUUCACACGAUUUAGCCCCAGUCAGCAUGGAGAACGUGGCCCUAGCAAGAUGUUAUUGUGACUGUAAACAAUCCUCCUUACACAAGUUAUUGCUAAACAGCUAAGUUUCUUAUAAGCAAAUCAUUUUUGACUUUUAUUUCAGAUAUUUUGUGAAGAUUCACAUUAAUUGUCCCAGAAAGUGCUUAUCUCGACUCAUCCCUCUACCUAAUUUGCAGCCUUACUACCUCAUGGCUAACACGCUAAUGACUGAAACCUCCAACCUCCCCUUCCUAGAAAGAGGAAUAAAUGGCUAUGUGCAAAUAGAUUAUGAUGAACUGCUUGAACUGCAAUUAAGGCAGAAGGAAGAGAAGGAGAUGACAGCAGUUUAGACAACAAUUUGGGCAACUGCAGCUGCAGCUGCUUUGUGGUUUAAUGCAGUAAUUGAUAGACUCUGCCUGUCACUAGAGGGAUCAGAAUGCAAACUUAAAUUACCAUCAUUAGGGUUCUCCUAAUUGCAGCAUUACAUGCAAAGCCUGUUUUUGUUUGUUAUUAUAAAACGACUCUUCUGUUAUCUAAUUUGUUCGGGCAGAUCUUCCCUUCCUUUAAUACGGAAACAAAUUAGAAUUCGGAUUUGGAGCUCAAUGGAAAAUCCAGACACUUUCCGAAUCGUGGUCAUAAUAUGAACAUAAUCACAGCUAAGCAUUAUUUCAUUAAACAGGUGCAGUGAUUAUGCAUCUUAAAGUGUUUGUUUGCAAAUUUGAAUCAAUCAAAUGGACCCAUUGAGAGCAUCUUGAUCUAUUUACUGAUUAUACGAUUGCAAACUGGCAUAAUCAUCAAUUUAUUCUCACGUGCAAUGAAACAUCUCAUUAUUCUAGCCUUGUUAUGAAUGAUACGUUGAAUGUCGUGGGAAUGAUUGGAUUUCUAGCAUUGUAUAUAAAUCCAUCCAUUCAAGGACAUGCUAGUGUGAUUUCUAUGUGUGUGUAUGGCCAGUGUUUCUCAUUGCCCCCAGCUCUUUCUCAUUAAGAGGUCAAAUAUAAAGUACAAAGGAAAAAAAAAAUGCUGAGACUACACAUUGGUGUAUUGCACUUACUAAGACUGACAAGGUCUCUGGGUGCUGGGAAGAUCUUUGCCAUUGUACUGAAUCACCAUUCCCCAUGAACCAACACACACCAGCCUCACUGAAUCAUCCAGAUGAAAAACUGGAGAGCAACACAAAAGGAUAAAUUGUAUUGUGCCUCUAAGUGAAACAGUACAUGUACACCCACCAGCGACAUUCAGAGAUCAGUGCCAAUAAUCAAGUAUUAAUGAUUAUUUAAUGCGCAUACGCUGGAGUUGGGUAAUUGGAAAGUUAAAUGACGGGCAAGGUCAGUAGAGUCACAUUUAUCAGUUUCUAUUUAUCUCUUCUGGGGAGGUGGCAGGUUUACAGUAAAUACCUUCUGUCCCCCUAAUUUCCUAAUGAUGGGGAUAAUGAUGGAGAAUGGAGCAGCCAUUAGCAGGGAAAGGCUCUGUGCAUCACUCUGUCAGCGCUGUCUUUUCGAGGCCCACAAUGUAAAGUGAUGGGACCCAGGUACUCAAAAACCCACCCAAUGGAUAAUCAUCCACAUAAAGCUACAUACAGUAGCUCUGAAAUACAAAGACUAGUCACUUGAUGAAGACUGGGUGAUAUACUUCACUCUUUUGACAUGUAUCUUCUGUAAUUAUACAAAAGUUAGUCCGCUCCUCUAAUUGAAUUGAUUGAGCUGUGUUCCAAGAAAGCUCAUGGUUAAUCCAACAGCACUGGGACUUUUCAUCAUUUCUGUCAUUCCAGACAGAGUCCAGACAGAGUGUCACUCUGUGCAUUAGUGGUGAGGAUUUUUCAGCGACUGUUUCUGCAGGCUACAUCAAUAUACAAGUGGGUGUUGAUGGGUCUUUAUAAAUGAGAUAUUAAUUAAUUCACUCACCAUCCAAAAUCGCAUACUUCCCUACUAUAUAGUAGAGCAAAAAAAAAAAAAAAAAAAAAUAUGUCUGAAUUCACAGUGUUCAAUAAAUAUUAGGCAAAAAGAGAAUAUGCAAUUUCAGAUACAUCCACUGUCUCUAUGAGCGAGUCUUUGAAUCAUUCAUUCAACUGAUUUGUUUAAAAUCACAGAUUCAUUCAGGAACAGAAUGGCACUAUGGAGUACCCAGAGACAUAACCAAACUUUGUUUAGAAUUAGGAUUUGCUGCUUAAUCUAGACAGGGCUAUAAUAUGAAUAUAAUCACAGCAUUAUUUCAUUAAACAGGUGUGGCAAUUAUGCAUGUUGGAAUGUUUAUUUGCAAAUUAGCAUCAGUCAAAAUUUAAGUAUUUAUGAUGUCAGAGUAAAAUUAACAAAAUAUGUUUCUAUAAUGUAAGUUGCUCAAUGUGAACUUCAGAUUCAACAUAAAAAAUAUUAACAUUAAACUCAAGUAUCACACUCUAUACAGCUCUAUAUAUCUCCCUUUCAGCUACCUCCCUUCAUAUCAUUCCAC
ensembl:lncRNA